rnacentral:rRNA from 1 species
UAGCGAAGGGUGCAAGCGUUAUCCGGAUUCAUUGGGUUUAAAGGGUGCGUAGGCGGGGCGAUAAGUCAGUGUGAAAAUCCUGCAGCUUAACUGUAGCAUUGCCAUUGAUACUGUCGUCCUUGAGUACGCUUGACGUGAAGCGGGAAUGUGCCGUGUAGCGGUGAAAUGCUUAGAUAUGGCACAGUAACACCAAAUUGCGAAGGCAGC